rnacentral:tRNA from 1 species
GGGCCCGUAGCUCAGCCAGGUGGAGCACCCGGCUCAUAAGCGCGCGCCGCGCGCUGGAACACCGGGGGGUCCCGGGUUCGAAUCCCGGCGGGCCCA